rnacentral:rRNA from 1 species
AUUGAACGCUGGCGGCAGGCCUAACACAUGCAAGUCGAACGAGUGGCGGACGGGUGAGUAAUGUCUGGGAAACUGCACGAUGGAGGGGGAUAACUACUGGAAACGGUAGCUAAUACCGCAUACCAUCGGAUGUGCCCAGAUGGGAUUAGCUAGUAGGUGGGGUAACGGCUCACCUAGGCGGCGAUCCCUAGCGGGUCUGAGAGGAUGACCAGCCAACCUGGAACUGAGACAGGGUCCAGACUCCUACGGGAGGCAGCAGUGGGGAAUAUUGCACAAUGGGCGCAAGCCUGAUGCAGCCAUGCCGCGUGGAUGAAGAAGGCCUUCGGGUUGUAAAGUACGUUCAGCGAGGAGGCGUUACUCGCAGAAGAAGCACCGGCUAACUCCGUGCCAGCAGCCGCGGUAAUUC